rnacentral:rRNA from 2 species
GUGGAUUAGUGGCGAACGGGUGAGUAACACGUGGGCAAUCUGCCCUGCACUCUGGGACAAGCCCUGGAAACGGGGUCUAAUACCGGAUAAUACUUUCCUCUGCAUGGGGGAGGGUUAAAAGCUCCGGCGGUGCAGGAUGAGCCCGCGGCCUAUCAGCUUGUUGGUGGGGUGAUGGCCUACCAAGGCGACGACGGGUAGCCGGCCUGAGAGGGCGACCGGCCACACUGGGACUGAGACACGGCCCAGACUCCUACGGGAGGCAGCAGUGGGGAAUAUUGCACAAUGGGCGAAAGCCUGAUGCAGCGACGCCGCGUGAGGGAUGACGGCCUUCGGGUUGUAAACCUCUUUCAGCAGGGAAGAAGCGAAAGUGACGGUACCUGCAGAAGAAGCGCCGGCUAACUACGUGCCAGCAGCCGCGGUAAUACGUAGGGCGCAAGCGUUGUCCGGAAUUAUUGGGCGUAAAGAGCUCGUAGGCGGUUUGUCACGUCGGAUGUGAAAGCCCGGGGCUUAACCCCGGGUCUGCAUUCGAUACGGGCAGACUAGAGUGUGGUAGGGGAGAUCGGAAUUCCUGGUGUAGCGGUGAAAUGCGCAGAUAUCAGGAGGAACACCGGUGGCGAAGGCGGAUCUCUGGGGCCAUUACUGACGCUGAGGAGCGAAAGCGUGGGGAGCG